rnacentral:rRNA from 1 species
UAGGGGAUAUUGGUAAUGGGCGAAAGCCUGAACCAGCAACGCCGCGUGUGCGAUGAAGGCCUUCGGGUUGUAAAGCACUUUUGACUGGGACGAGGAAGGACGGUACCAGUGGAAUAAGCCUCGGCUAACUACGUGCCAGCAGCCGCGGUAAAACGUAGGAGGCGAGCGUUAUCCGGAUUUACUGGGUGUAAAGCGCAUGCAGGCGGUCGGCUAAGUUGGGUGUGAAAGCUCCUGGCUCAACUGGGAGAGGUUGCUCAAGACUGGCGGACUAGAGGGCGAUAAGGGAAAGCGGAAUUCCGGGUGUAGUGGUGAAAUGCGUAGAUAUCCGGAGGAACACCAGUGGCGAAGGCGGCUUUCUGGAUCGCGACUGACGCUCAGAUGCGAAAGCUAGGGUAGCAAACGGG